CCCUGCCAUUUGUACACACCGCCCGUCGCUACUACCGAUUGAAUGGCUUAGUGAGGUUUCCGGAUUGGCUUUGAGGACCCGGCAACGGGAUCUUAUUGCUGAGAAGCUACCCAAACUUGGUCAUUUAG
rnacentral:rRNA from 1 species